GUCGAGCGGAUCUUGUCCUUCGGGAUAAGAUUAGCGGCGGACGGGUGAGUAACACGUGGGUAACCUGCCUGUAAGACUGGGAUAACAUUCGGAAACGAAUGCUAAUACCGGAUACGCGAUUUGGUCGCAUGACCGAAUCGGGAAAGAUGGAGCAAUCUAUCACUUACAGAUGGACCCGCGGCGCAUUAGCUAGUUGGUGAGGUAACGGCUCACCAAGGCGACGAUGCGUAGCCGACCUGAGAGGGUGAUCGGCCACACUGGGACUGAGACACGGCCCAGACUCCUACGGGAGGCAGCAGUAGGGAAUCUUCCGCAAUGGACGAAAGUCUGACGGAGCAACGCCGCGUGAGUGAUGAAGGUUUUCGGAUCGUAAAGCUCUGUUGCCAGGGAAGAAUGCUUGGGAGAGUAACUGCUCCCAAGGUGACGGUACCUGAGAAGAAAGCCCCGGCUAACUACGUGCCAGCAGCCGCGGUAAUACGUAGGGGGCAAGCGUUGUCCGGAAUUAUUGGGCGUAAAGCGCGCGCAGGCGGCCUUGUAAGUCUGUUGUUUAAACUUGGGGCUCAACCCCAAGUCGCAAUGGAAACUGCAAAGCUUGAGUACAGAAGAGGAAAGUGGAAUUCCACGUGUAGCGGUGAAAUGCGUAGAGAUGUGGAGGAACACCAGUGGCGAAGGCGACUUUCUGGGCUGUAACUGACGCUGAGGCGCGAA
rnacentral:rRNA from 1 species